rnacentral:lncRNA from 1 species
CAGCGGGCGACCCUUUCUCCCUGAGCCAGAAGACUGGCCUCGGAAUCGGCUUUCCCAGGCCGCUGCACACCAUACUCCACUUCCUGCCCGCCCCAGGCCCCAGCGCAUGGGGUCCAGGCCCAGUCACAGUCACCUUGCCUCGGGAAGCUCGAAGCUGCCCCGGAGGCCUCCUGACCUGCCCGGCCUCACCCAGGCCCCACUACUCAUUCCAGGACACAGGGUCAACCUAGCCUAUCUCCUGCAGGCGGCCACCCGGAGGGACGUCUCAUCGAAACCCUGUAUCCUGGCCAGGCCCGCCUGUCCAAAUGGGGAUUCUCGCUGGGCCACCCAUAUCCCAUAGAUAAUAUUGGAAUGCUGUCCAAGUGCCUUUACCGAAAGGCCAAGCCUGGAGCUGAGGCUCCCAAUGUCCCUUUCACCAGCGAUAGGACUGUCAGCAUCUCAGGUAGGAGCUGAACGCGUUUGCAUAGACGCGGAGUGCUGAACCUUCCUCCCUCUUGGGAUCCCGGGUACCGAAUACCCCCGUGAGCAGGAGGGCCAGAAGUCACCCGGCUCCGGGCGUACACAGCACCAGGUCAGCUCGGUGAGGUGAGGUGCUCCCGCAGGCCUGGAGAGCUCUGAAUCGGCGGGGGACCAGGACCAGAGCAGGCCGCAGGGGAGGCAGGAGAUGGUCAGCCCCAAACGCGAAGCGCAGGCCGGCCACCUAUUUUGAAGGGAUUGCUGCUGGCCGUCGGAACCAUUGGAGGCCUCUGGGGAGACAGCCCGGGCCUGACCCUUCCUCCGCCAGCUUAGCCCGGGUGCUGCAGGAGUUGCCCCGGGGACCACCCAUUCCCGGCACCAAGAGCUGGUCAGAGCUCCUUCCAGCCCAGGGAAAGAAGAGGGCCCAGAGUGUCCAGCCCAGGUGCUGCAUCUGGAACCCCAGGGGUUCUCCUGGAAAGGACGGGCUUUGGUCUCUGGCCUGCUCUGGUGGCAGGGAGGUGGAGUGGACCAUGAGGCGUGGCCCGGACCAUGCGUGUGAGUCACCAGUGCCGCCAUGCGCAGACUCUGGGGCACAGGGAAGGGGGCUCUGGUUCUUGGUCUCUUCCCUCCAGCUUGCUUGAUACU